UUAAGCGACUAAGCGUACACGGUGGAUGCCCUGGCAGUCAGAGGCGAUGAAGGACGUGCUAAUCUGCGAUAAGCGUCGGUAAGGUGAUAUGAACCGUUAUAACCGGCGAUUUCCGAAUGGGGAAACCCAGUGUGAUUCGUCACACUAUCAUUAACUGAAUCCAUAGGUUAAUGAGGCGAACCGGGGGAACUGAAACAUCUAAGUACCCCGAGGAAAAGAAAUCAACCGAGAUUCCCCCAGUAGCGGCGAGCGAACGGGGAGCAGCCCAGAGCCUGAAUCAGUGUGUGUGUUAGUGGAAGCGUCUGGAAAGGCGCGCGAUACAGGGUGACAGCCCCGUACACAAAAAUGCACAUGCUGUGAGCUCGAUGAGUAGGGCGGGACACGUGGUAUCCUGUCUGAAUAUGGGGGGACCAUCCUCCAAGGCUAAAUACUCCUGACUGACCGAUAGUGAACCAGUACCGUGAGGGAAAGGCGAAAAGAACCCCGGCGAGGGGAGUGAAAAAGAACCUGAAACCGUGUACGUACAAGCAGUGGGAGCACGCUUAGGCGUGUGACUGCGUACCUUUUGUAUAAUGGGUCAGCGACUUAUAUUCUGUAGCAAGGUUAACCGAAUAGGGGAGCCGAAGGGAAACCGAGUCUUAACUGGGCGUUAAGUUGCAGGGUAUAGACCCGAAACCCGGUGAUCUAGCCAUGGGCAGGUUGAAGGUUGGGUAACACUAACUGGAGGACCGAACCGACUAAUGUUGAAAAAUUAGCGGAUGACUUGUGGCUGGGGGUGAAAGGCCAAUCAAACCGGGAGAUAGCUGGUUCUCCCCGAAAGCUAUUUAGGUAGCGCCUCGUGAACUCAUCUCCGGGGGUAGAGCACUGUUUCGGCAAGGGGGUCAUCCCGACUUACCAACCCGAUGCAAACUGCGAAUACCGGAGAAUGUUAUCACGGGAGACACACGGCGGGUGCUAACGUCCGUCGUGAAGAGGGAAACAACCCAGACCGCCAGCUAAGGUCCCAAAGUCAUGGUUAAGUGGGAAACGAUGUGGGAAGGCCCAGACAGCCAGGAUGUUGGCUUAGAAGCAGCCAUCAUUUAAAGAAAGCGUAAUAGCUCACUGGUCGAGUCGGCCUGCGCGGAAGAUGUAACGGGGCUAAACCAUGCACCGAAGCUGCGGCAGCGACGCUGAUGCGUUGUUGGGUAGGGGAGCGUUCUGUAAGCCUGUGAAGGUGUGCUGUGAGGCAUGCUGGAGGUAUCAGAAGUGCGAAUGCUGACAUAAGUAACGAUAAAGCGGGUGAAAAGCCCGCUCGCCGGAAGACCAAGGGUUCCUGUCCAACGUUAAUCGGGGCAGGGUGAGUCGACCCCUAAGGCGAGGCCGAAAGGCGUAGUCGAUGGGAAACAGGUUAAUAUUCCUGUACUUGGUGUUACUGCGAAGGGGGGACGGAGAAGGCUAUGUUGGCCGGGCGACGGUUGUCCCGGUUUAAGCGUGUAGGCUGGUUUUCCAGGCAAAUCCGGAAAAUCAAGGCUGAGGCGUGAUGACGAGGCACUACGGUGCUGAAGCAACAAAUGCCCUGCUUCCAGGAAAAGCCUCUAAGCAUCAGGUAACAUCAAAUCGUACCCCAAACCGACACAGGUGGUCAGGUAGAGAAUACCAAGGCGCUUGAGAGAACUCGGGUGAAGGAACUAGGCAAAAUGGUGCCGUAACUUCGGGAGAAGGCACGCUGAUAUGUAGGUGAAGUCCCUCGCGGAUGGAGCUGAAAUCAGUCGAAGAUACCAGCUGGCUGCAACUGUUUAUUAAAAACACAGCACUGUGCAAACACGAAAGUGGACGUAUACGGUGUGACGCCUGCCCGGUGCCGGAAGGUUAAUUGAUGGGGUCAGCGCAAGCGAAGCUCUUGAUCGAAGCCCCGGUAAACGGCGGCCGUAACUAUAACGGUCCUAAGGUAGCGAAAUUCCUUGUCGGGUAAGUUCCGACCUGCACGAAUGGCGUAAUGAUGGCCAGGCUGUCUCCACCCGAGACUCAGUGAAAUUGAACUCGCUGUGAAGAUGCAGUGUACCCGCGGCAAGACGGAAAGACCCCGUGAACCUUUACUAUAGCUUGACACUGAACAUUGAGCCUUGAUGUGUAGGAUAGGUGGGAGGCUUAGAAGUGUGGACGCCAGUCUGCAUGGAGCCGACCUUGAAAUACCACCCUUUAAUGUUUGAUGUUCUAACGUUGACCCGUAAUCCGGGUUGCGGACAGUGUCUGGUGGGUAGUUUGACUGGGGCGGUCUCCUCCUAAAGAGUAACGGAGGAGCACGAAGGUUGGCUAAUCCUGGUCGGACAUCAGGAGGUUAGUGCAAUGGCAUAAGCCAGCUUGACUGCGAGCGUGACGGCGCGAGCAGGUGCGAAAGCAGGUCAUAGUGAUCCGGUGGUUCUGAAUGGAAGGGCCAUCGCUCAACGGAUAAAAGGUACUCCGGGGAUAACAGGCUGAUACCGCCCAAGAGUUCAUAUCGACGGCGGUGUUUGGCACCUCGAUGUCGGCUCAUCACAUCCUGGGGCUGAAGUAGGUCCCAAGGGUAUGGCUGUUCGCCAUUUAAAGUGGUACGCGAGCUGGGUUUAGAACGUCGUGAGACAGUUCGGUCCCUAUCUGCCGUGGGCGCUGGAGAACUGAGGGGGGCUGCUCCUAGUACGAGAGGACCGGAGUGGACGCAUCACUGGUGUUCGGGUUGUCAUGCCAAUGGCACUGCCCGGUAGCUAAAUGCGGAAGAGAUAAGUGCUGAAAGCAUCUAAGCACGAAACUUGCCCCGAGAUGAGUUCUCCCUGACUCCUUGAGAGUCCUGAAGGAACGUUGAAGACGACGACGUUGAUAGGCCGGGUGUGUAAGCGCAGCGAUGCGUUGAGCUAACCGGUACUAAUGAACCGUGAGGCUUAACCUU
rnacentral:rRNA from 1 species